rnacentral:rRNA from 1 species
CCUACGGGAGGCAGCAGUGGGGGAUAUUGGACAAUGGGGGGAACCCUGAUCCAGCGACGCCGCGUGAGUGAAGAAGUAUUUCGGUAUGUAAAGCUCUGUCAGCAGGGAAGAAAGAAAUGACGGUACCUGACCAAGAAGCCCCGGCUAACUACGUGCCAGCAGCCGCGGUAAUACGUAGGGGGCAAGCGUUAUCCGGAAUUACUGGGUGUAAAGGGAGCGUAGACGGUUAAGUAAGUCUGGAGUGAAAGGCCGGGGCCCAACCCCGGGACUGCUCUGGAAACUAUUGAACUGGAGUGCAGGGGAGGUAAGCGGAAUUCCUAGUGUAGCGGUGAAAUGCGUAGAUAUUAGGAGGAACACCAGUGGCGAAGGCGGCUUACUGGACUGUAACUGACGUUGAGGCUCGAAAGCGUGGGGAGCAAACAGGAUUAGAUACCCGUGUAGUC